UGUGACAUACCUAUCGUUGCUUCGGCGGGAUCGCCCCGGCGCCAUCGCGGCUGGACCCAGGCGCCCGCCGGAGGACCCAAACUCUUGAAUUUAUGAAGUAUCUUCUGAGUAAACAAGCAAAUAAAUUAAAACUUUCAACAACGGAUCUCUUGGUUCUGGCAUCGAUGAAGAACGCAGCGAAAUGCGAUAAGUAAUGUGAAUUGCAGAAUUCCGUGAAUCAUCGAAUCUUUGAACGCACAUUGCGCCCGCCAGUAUUCUGGCGGGCAUGCCUGUUCGAGCGUCAUUUCAACCCUCAAGCCCCCGGGCUUGGUGUUGGGGCUCGGCCCGUCCCUAGCGGCGCGCCGUCCCCGAAAUCUAGUGGCGGUCUCGCUGCAGCCUCCCCUGCGUAGUAGCUAACACCUCGCAACGGGAACUGAGCGCGGCCACGCCGUUAAACCCCAACUUCUGAAGGUGACCUCGGAUCAGGUAGGAAUACCCGCUGAACUUAAGCAUAUCAAUAAGCGGAGGAA
rnacentral:rRNA from 1 species